rnacentral:rRNA from 1 species
AGUGAACGCUGGCGGUAGGCCUAACACAUGCAAGUCGAACGGCAGCACAGUAAGGGCUUGCUCUUACGGGUGGCGAGUGGCGGACGGGUGAGGAAUACAUCGGAAUCUACUUUUUCGUGGGGGCUAACGUAGGGAAACUUACGCUAAUACCGCAUACGACCUACGGGUGAAAGCAGGGGAUCUUCGGACCUUGCGCGAUUGAAUGAGCCGAUGUCGGAUUAGCUAGUUGGCGGGGUAAAGGCCCACCAAGGCGACGAUCCGUAGCUGGUCUGAGAGGAUGAUCAGCCACACUGGAACUGAGACACGGUCCAGACUCCUACGGGAGGCAGCAGUGGGGAAUAUUGGACAAUGGGCGCAAGCCUGAUCCAGCCAUACCGCGUGGGUGAAGAAGGCCUUCGGGUUGCAAAGCCCUUUUGUUGGGAAAGAAAAGCAGCAGGUUAAUACCCCGCUGUUCUGACGGUACCCAAAGAAUAAGCACCGGCUAACUUCGUG